rnacentral:rRNA from 1 species
GACGUAGGGGGCAAGCGUUAUUCGGAAUCAUUGGGCGUAAAGCGCUCGUAGGCGGAUCGGACAGUCGGUGAAGAAAGACCCGGGCUCAACUCGGGGAACGGCACCGAUACUAUCGAUCUUGAGGCAAUCAGAGGGUGAUGGAAUUCCGGUGUAGCGGUGAAAUGCGUAGAUAUCGGGAGGAACACCUGUGGCGAAAGCGGCGCACUGGACCAUAACUGACGCUGAGGCGCGAAAGCUAGGGGAGCAAACAGG